AUUGAACGCUGGCGACAGGCCUAACACAUGCAAGUCGAACGAGUGGCGGACGGGUGAGUAAUGUCUGGGAAACUGCCCGAUGGAGGGGGAUAACUAAUGGACACGGUAGCUAAUACCGCAUACAUUCGGAUGUGCCCAGAUGGGUUGAGCUAGUAGGUGGGGUAACGGCUCACCUAGGCGACGAUCCCUAGCUGGUCUGAGAGGAUGACCAGCAACACUGGAACUGAGACACGGUCCAGACUCCUACGUGAGGCAGCAGUGGGGAAUAUUGCACAAUGGGCGCAAGCCGGAUGCAGCCAUGCCGCGUGUAUGAAGAAGGCCUUCGGGUUGUAAAGUACUUUCAGCGAGGAGGCGUUACUCGCAGAAGAAGCACCGGCUAACUCCGUGCCAGCAGCCGCGGUAAUAC
rnacentral:rRNA from 1 species